GACGAACGCUGGCGGCGUGCUUAACACAUGCAAGUCGAACGGAAAGGCCCUGCUUGCAGGGUACUCGAGUGGCGAACGGGUGAGUAACACGUGGGUGAUCUGCCCUGCACUUCGGGAUAAGCCUGGGAAACUGGGUCUAAUACCGGAUAGGAGCCAUUUUUAGUGUGAUGGUUGGAAAGUUUUUUCGGUGUAGGAUGAGCUCGCGGCCUAUCAGCUUGUUGGUGGGGUAAUGGCCUACCAAGGCGGCGACGGGUAGCCGGCCUGAGAGGGUGGACGGCCACAUUGGGACUGAGAUACGGCCCAGACUCCUACGGGAAGCAGCGGUGGGGAAUAUUGCACAAUGGGCGCAAGCCUGAUGCAGCGACGCCGCGUGGGGGAUGACGGCCUUCGGGUUGUAAACUCCUUUCGCUAGGGACGAAGCUUUUUGUGACGGUACCUAGAUAAGAAGCACCGGCUAACUACGUG
rnacentral:rRNA from 1 species